GAAAAGCAAAGAAAAUAUUCUGUCUAAUUAUAAUUCUGAUCAUGUAUAUGGUGUGAAUAUGGCUGGACUGUAGGUGAUUCAUUAAUACGUGUCCCGUUUGUGUCCAAUGGACAAAACAAUGGAAUUUGGCUAAAAAGAAUAUUCUCAAGUACACAGAGAUAAUGGCCAUUUUUUCGAAAAAUAAAUUUGGUCCAAAAAGCUUCAAUUCAGUUUAUUCGUUCACAUUUGGUGGAUCAUCAUCGUUUAGCUCGGUAAUUUGGUCAUGUGUGUGUGUGUGUGUGUGCCUGGCCCUUUUUUCUCAGUUAUUGUUGAUACUGAUCAUGGUGAUCCAUUUGGUCCAAACUAUCAUUAAAAUGAAUAAUUUAAUUUUCCAAAUCAACAUGAUGGAAUAUGGCUCGUUCGUUUGGUGUUUGAUGUUAUGUAUUCAGGCUGGCCAUUUUAAAAAACCACCACCCAUCGGUCUCUGAAUGGCCAUCAUGAUGGUGAAGAGGCAUCAUCACUCAUGAUUGUCGUCAAUUCAAUUGUUUUGUUUUUCUUUUAUUUUCACUUUUUCAAAUAGGAUCAUCUCAUCAUCAUCAUCAUCAACAACAAAGAAAGAGAAACGAUGCUGUACACUAUUGUUUUGCACACACUUAUAUAUUACGUGAUGAUCAAAGAAAAAAAAAUGCUUUGUCUUAUCCAUCAUCAUCAUCAUCAUGAUUGUUAUCUACAGUAAUUCCAGUAGCUUUCUUUCAAAUUGGUGAAAAAAAAAUAAUUAACGGCCAUACGCAAUGAUGGCCACAGCCACUAC